AAUCCUCCACCCUAGUCUCUUUGUUGAGGUCCUGGGCUGGGAAUUGGGGGGCCUUUGCGGGCUUCGGUCCGCAUCCCCUUGAAUGCAUUAGUGAGGCUCCGAAAGGUCUUCGACGUGAUAGUUAUCUGCGUCGUGGGGUACCCUUCGAUCAGGGCCUGGCUUCUAACCGUCCCCUCGGACAAAUUCACUUUGA
rnacentral:misc_RNA from 1 species